AACGUUAUGCAUUUGGUGGGAAAUAAACCCAUGACCCAUCAGCUGGGCUUCAGUACAGUUUAUUUACAAGAGGGGACACGUGUUCAUCAGCAUGAAUCUGUCAAAAAUGUUCAGUUUUAAACACAUUUUAAACUAUUCCGAGGAAACAUUUAAUAAAAAAAUACGUUGGUAUUUUUUAAACGUUUUAAAAACGUUUUAUUUUGGAUGCAUAUUUUUUAAAUAUAGGUGUGGUUUUUCAAACGUUUUUCAAACGUUGUACUGCAACAUUACCUAAUUGUAACCAAAAUGCAACGGUGUUAAGGGGCUGUGUCCACCGAGGCGCAUUUACGCGGCUGAAAACGGCCGCUGCAGGCGCCCGGUCGAACGCCGCCGCUGAUCGUGGGAAAAACGCUUAGCACCAGCGCAGAGCGCGGAAAAAAACCGUCAGCUGAUGGCUUUUUUUUUUAAAGCGCGGCGUUUCCAUAGGAAACAAUUAAAAAAACACGUCGGCCGCAGGCGUAAACGCCUCGGUGGACACAGCCUCUAAAAGUUGUAUAAACGUUUUGUGUUUGCUGGGAAAUGGAAAGCACAUAUGCAAACCACGGCAGGGAGACCAGAAGGCAGAGGAAGAGGUGUGCGGAUUCGUUGGACAGAGAAUGGCCGUGUCGGACGCGCAAUAUCGGCGGCGCAACGAAGUGCUCCAUCCGGAUUGAAGGACGGGGUGCUGAUUUGUCCGUCAAUGUCUCGGCGACUGGCAUAGGCAUAGUCUUCGGACCGGUGCUUCGCCGCCUUCAGCGGUAUCUGGGAAGGUUUUUUCAGAGAUUCUUUGGCUUAGGAACCAUGAACAGACUGUUGGCAGGAGACACCUCUGGAGCGCAAUAAACACAACAAUCGAGCUGCAGGCUUCCAAGAGGAGGACGGAACAUAUGAUGUCGACGCGCAUUGGCUGUAUCGCCUGAACUUUCACAAAAGCUCUUCUCAUAAGAUUUUCAGCCAUUUUAUUUGUUAACCUCGCCGUUUUGUGUGUAUGUUUUGUGAUAACCGAAUUAUCAGCAUGAAUCUGUCAAAAAUGUUCAGUCUGAAAACAUUAAAACAAAUUAAACGCAGUGAAAAUUUCUGAGUUUUAUUUUAAUUAGACAUAUUUAAAAGUAUUUUUAUGAUCUGACUUUUUUCAGUAGGCUACAUUAAAAGUGAGAAUUUCAACUGUAAAGUUGCAGUGUAAGCUGCAGGCGAGUUAACCGCUCUAACAUUAUACGAUGUACUGAUAUGAUUCUAAAAGCUGAACUUAACAGUAAUGUUCGUAUAGGGUAUGAGAGCUGUGCGCUCUAGCAAUAUGGUCGUGUCCGGUGUGCACUGACUUUGAGAGCCGUGCGCCAGGGAUGGAAUACUGACCGGGCCAAUGGGGCCAGUGCCCAGGGGCCCUUGACAUGAACCCGAGGGGGCCCUGGGCUUCAAGGUUACGCCAUCCAGUUUGGUACAGAAAACCCAACAACAAUGAAAACAAAUGUUUAUCUAUGUUUAAUAUAUGGGUCCCAUACAAGGCAUUUGUGGAUACCCUGUAAAAAAUGAAAUAAUCAACAAAUCAUGGCAACAUAUGUUUUUAUGUUACUUUAACUUAUUAAAUUAAAUGUGACUUAUUAAAAAUGAACUUAUUCAUUAAAUUACAGCACAUUUAAAUUGUAUUUUCUGAAUCUUUUGAUUGAUGAUUUGAUGUUUACAGACAUGUGUCACAGGGCAUUUUAUGGUGAGAAAUCAUUUUUUAUUUAUGUGAUGCAUUAAAUACGUGUAUAUUUGACAGUUAAUUAAAGACGUGUGUUUCAUAGGCCUUAAUUUGGUUCAUUGUUGAUUUUUUUCUGUGUAGCUAAUAUUAGACUUCUA